UACGUAGGGGGCAAGCGUUGUCCGGAAUUAUUGGGCGUAAAGAGCGUGUAGGCGGCCCGGUAAGUCCGCUGUGAAAGUCGGGGGCUCAACCCUCGAAUGCCGGUGGAUACUGUCGGGCUAGAGUGCGGAAGAGGCGAGUGGAAUUCCUGGUGUAGCGGUGAAAUGCGCAGAUAUCAGGAGGAACACCGGUGGCGAAGGCGGUUCUCUGGGCAUUACCUGACGCUGAGGAGCGAAAGUGUGGGGAGCGAACAGG
rnacentral:rRNA from 1 species